AUCGGCAAAACAAGACUGAUCGAGCUUCGUUUCCACCUAGGAGGUCGAAACGACGUUGAAGCAAGUGUCGAAUAGUGUUCUUAGCACCCCGACAUUGUCGAAAGGUGGGUGGUGUCAUCCCGAAGCAACCGGGUUCCUCUCUAUGUCUUAGUACUUCAUGAUUUGCAUCUCUUGCAUGUUGCAUUGUAGGAUUGCAUGUUAUUCCAUUCCUUAUGCUUGCUAAUGAUAUCAAUGUAUGAGUUGAAUGCAUGAUGAUGGUUAGAUGAGGAUUGGGUCUUGACAUUGAAUUCUAUAGUGCCGAGAAAAGAGAUGAACUCGAUGAUUGUUAAAGACGUAAUGAGUGGCGUUGACUGUUAAUCAAAUAAGAACGAGUAGCAUAUAACUUAGUGUAAAUGACACUAGUGGCAUGUGAACUUAGGGAUAGGUGGAUUCCCUAGUAAAUGACUCGUUGGACGAGAACAUAAUAUAGCCAAACAUUCAUAGUUGGACU
rnacentral:lncRNA from 1 species